rnacentral:lncRNA from 11 species
GGACGAAAUUGGUCCACACCUGUUGUAGUGUAACAGGUAAAGAUGGAUACACCUGAGAGGAACCGUCACAGCCUACCUUCGUCCUCCUUUGGAAACAAGGCCGGCGGAUUUCCGGUUCCGGGAGGCUGCAAUGCGAAGGGGCCGGCCGCCAGAGGGCGCUGCGGUCCGGCCGGAAAAGGCGUCUCCGCGCGCUCCUCGGUCCGGCAGCGCCUCCUUCCGCCGCCCGCACUUCCGCUUGUGCAGGCCUGCCAUGGAGAGCAGCAGCGGGGAGGAAGAGGGCGAGGAGGACUGUGAGGAGGCCUACCUCCGGCACCGGCGCCUCUGCCAGUACGGAAUCCCCUGCCGAGAAAUCAGCGGAGAGAUUUGCUGGUACUGUGAAGAAGAAGAUUAUUUUGGCUCUGAAGACUGGGAGGACUGCAGUGAGGUGCCAGAGGGAGAGGACAAGGCCCAGGGGGUCACACAGGGCACCUUCUGCGGAUUUAAGAAGUCUUUUCUUUGCAAGUCACCUUCUACCCCUCAGCAGCCAUCACAUCGCAGCGGACCAGACUGCCAACUCCUGGACAUCAUACUGCCGCGGAAGCAGCAACUCACUGCUGAGGAAGUGGAGAAAAACGCCGAAGAGUUAGUUGCAGAGGAGGAGCGGAUCAAGAGGGAGGCGGAGAAAAAAAGAGAGAAGAAGAAGCAAAAAAAGAAGGUAGCACUCUUUCUGCAGCACAUUUCUGGGGGGUGGGACAGACUCUUCCAACAGCAGAGAUGCAUGGGGUUGAAGUGAGCAGGACACUUGCCUUCUCUCUUCUCCAGAGGCAAAAGGACAGGAAGAGGAAAGAGAAGAAUGGCCAGGAGUCCAAGGAUGAGUCGGUGAGUGGAGGAAGCAGCUUUUGCUCAAGUGGUGGGUGGGCCCUUUUGCUCCACUCAAACUCCAACAGCCUCCUAAUUUCCUGCUACCAGUGACUUCUGUUGGGUGAGUGGGCUUAUUAACAAAAGACCCCAUCUCCAUAAGUGUAUAGCAGAGUAACUUAUCAAUAGCAGUAGCCAAAAGUGAUAAAAAAAAACACAGACCAAUGUUAUCUCUUCCUAGGAGGCUUGUCUUUAUACGGUAGCAAAAUAAUAUGGUUGCACUAUUUACAAGAACAAGAUUUCUGCAACUCAAAUGAAGUUAUUUAUACUUCCAUGUUUGCUUCCAUGCUGGGCUUCUUUCUUAUGAAGAUAAACAGCUUUGCUCUCACAGAGCCUCCUCUCUCAAUGAAUUUACACAGGAGCUUCACACAUUAGCUUUACACUUAGCAGCCUUCACACUUGUGAUGAACCAUGGGCCUUGUAGUCCUGCUCA